GGUGAACGCUGGCGGUAGGCCCAACACAUGCAAGUCGAACGGCAGCACAGUAAGAGCUUGCUCUUACGGGUGGCGAGUGGCGGACGGGUGAGGAAUACAUCGGAGUCUACUUUUUCGUGGGGGAUAACGUAGGGAAACUUACGCUAAUACCGCAUACGACCUACGGGUGAAAGCAGGGGAUCUUCGGACCUUGCGCGAUUGAAUGAGCCGAUGUCGGAUUAGCUAGUUGGCGGGGUAAAGGCCCACCAAGGCGACGAUCCGUAGCUGGUCUGAGAGGAUGAUCAGCCACACUGGAACUGAGACACGGUCCAGACUCCUACGGGAGGCAGCAGUGGGGAAUAUUGGACAAUGGGCGCAAGCCUGAUCCAGCCAUACCGCGUGGGUGAAGAAGGCCUUCGGGUUGUAAAGCCCUUUUGUUGGGAAAGAAAAGCAGCAGGUUAAUACCCCGCUGUUCUGACGGUACCCAAAGAAUAAGCACCGGCUAACUUCGUG
rnacentral:rRNA from 1 species